rnacentral:rRNA from 1 species
CCUACGGGGGGCUGCAGUGGGGGAUAUUGGACAAUGGGGGAAACCCUGAUCCAGCGACGCCGCGUGAGUGAAGAAGUAUUUCGGUAUGUAAAGCUCUGUCAGCAGGGAAGAAAGAAAUGACGGUACCUUACCAAGAAGCCCCGGCUAACUACGUGCCAGCAGCCGCGGUAAUACGUAGGGGGCAAGCGUUAUCCGGAAUUACUGGGUGUAAAGGGAGGGUAGACGGUGAUGCAAGUCUGGAGUGAAAGGCGGGGGCCCAACCCCCGGACUGCUUUGGAAACUGUGUAACUUGAGUGCAGGAGAGGCAAGCGGAAUUCCUAGUGUAGCGGUGAAAUGCGUAGAUAUUAGGAGGAACACCAGUGGCGAAGGCGGCUUACUGGACUGUAACUGACGUUGAGGCUCGAAAGCGUGGGGAGCAAACAGGAUUAGAUACCCCAGUAGUC